UCGAACGAGAAGCUUCUUUCGGGAAGUGGAGAGUGGCGCACGGGUGAGUAACGCGUGGGAAUUUGCCUUUUGGUACGGGAUAACGUUUGGAAACGAACGCUAAUACCGUAUGUGAUCUACGGAUUAAAGAUUUAUCGCCAAGAGAUGAGCCCGCGUAGGAUUAGAUAGUUGGUGGGGUAAUGGCCUACCAAGUCGACGAUCUUUAGCUGUUCUGAGAGGAAGAUCAGCCACACUGGAACUGAGACACGGUCCAGACUCCUACGGGAGGCAGCAGUGGGGAAUAUUGGACAAUGGGCGCAAGCCUGAUCCAGCCAUGCCGCGUGAGUGAAGAAGGCCUUAGGGUUGUAAAGCUCUUUCGCUAGGGAAGAUAAUGACGGUACCUAGUAAAGAAGUCCCGGCUAACUCCGUGCCAGCAGCCGCGGUAAUACGGAGGGGACUAGCGUUGUUCGGAAUUACUGGGCGUAAAGAGUACGUAGGCUGUUUGUCAAGUUGGGUGUGAAAGCCCGGGGCUCAACCCCGGAACUGCACUCAAAACUGGCGAGCUAGAGAUCGGAAGAGGUAAGUGGAAUUCCCAGUGUAGAGGUGAAAUUCGUAGAUAUUGGGAAGAACACC
rnacentral:rRNA from 1 species